rnacentral:rRNA from 1 species
UACGAAGGGGGCUAGCGUUGCUCGGAAUCACUGGGCGUAAAGGGUGCGUAGGCGGGGCUUUAAGGCAGGGGUGAAAUCCUGGAGCUCAACUCCAGAACUGCCUUUGAUACUGAAGAUCUUGAGUUCGGGAGAGGUGAGUGGAACUGCGAGUGUGGAGGUGAAAUUCGUAGAUAUUCGCAAGAACACCAGUGGCGAAGGCGGCUCACUGGCCCGAUACUGACGCUGAGGCACGAAAGCGUGGGGAGCAAACAGG